GAUAAGAUGCCUGAGUAAAAGGACUAUUUUGAUAGAAUAGAUUAUAUAUUAUUAAUUUAAUAUUCUUAUUA
rnacentral:tRNA from 1 species